rnacentral:SRP_RNA from 2 species
GAUUGGGUCCCGCGCGGACGACACCCGUGAACCCCGUCAGGCCCGGGAGGGAGCAGCGGUAAGCGGGCCCGUCGUGGUGCCGCGGAGCAGCCUGAUCGGU